rnacentral:rRNA from 1 species
CACGUAGGGGGCGAGCGUUGUCCGGAUUUAUUGGGCGUAAAGAGCUCGUAGGCGGCUCAGUAAGUCGGGUGUGAAAACUCCAGGCUCAACCUGGAGACGCCACCCGAUACUGCUGUGGCUAGAGUCCGGUAGGGGAGCAUGGAAUUCCUGGUGUAGCGGUGAAAUGCGCAGAUAUCAGGAGGAACACCGGUGGCGAAGGCGGGAUCCUGGGCCAGUACUGACGCUGAGGAGCGAAAGCGUGGGGAGCAAACAGG